UUAUGUGAUCGUCUCUCGCAUAUCAAUAAGCGGAGGAAAAGAAACUAACAAGGAUUCCCCUAGUAACGGCGAGUGAAGCGGGAAGAGCUCAAAUUUGAAAUCUUAAAGGGUUUCCCUUUACGAAUUGUAGUUUAAAGAAGUGUUUUCUGUUGAGGUUUUGGUAAAAGUUCUUUGGAAUAGGACAUCAUAGAGGGUGAGAAUCCCGUAUUUGACCUUUACUUUCAACUUUGUGAUACACUUUCAAAGAGUCGGAUUGUUUGGGAAUGCAGUCCAAAAUGGGUGGUAAAUUUCAUCUAAAGCUAAAUAUUGGCGAGAGACCGAUAGCGAACAAGUACCGUGAGGGAAAGAUGAAAAGAACUUUGAAAAGAGAGUUAAACAGUACGUGAAAUUGUCAAAAGGGAAGCGUUUGACACCAGUGUUGUUUUUCUGAAAAUCAAUUAAAGAACUGUUUAUGCUAAGUUGUUUAGACUUUAUCAGCUAUCUGUUUAGUUUUGAGCUUUUCUUUAAUGCACUUUUCAGUUAACAAGUCAACAUCAAUUUCUUUUGCUGUAAAAAAGCUUGAGGAAGGUGGCUUGAGAUUCGUCUUAAGUGUUUAUAGCCUCUUGCCUAUGCAGUCGAAGAGAUUGAGGUCUGCAGCGUAGAUCCUUCGGGGCUAAAUGCAUUUGUGCUAAGUUAUAGCAUUUUAUAGACAACUUGUUGACUAUGAUUUGUCUUGUAGCUUACUCGCUUAUGUUAUUUUACCUACGCUUAGGAUGUUGAUAUGCAUGACUGAUAU
rnacentral:rRNA from 1 species